GGCUUGAUAGAUCAGUUGGUAAGAGCAGUGCACUGGCAUCGCAAGGUCAUGACAUGGGGUUCGAAUCCCGUUCAAGCCU